GGAUGUGAGGGUGAUGGCUGUGACAUCUGUCAGCCCACUGAUGAUUCCGCUGAUCUGGCUAGCUAGAGGGGGUCCCCUUCCUCCCUCACCACUCCAUGUGCGUCCCUCCUGAAGCUGCGUGCUCAGUUAGAGAGGACGACCCUCCCAACAGAGGAGGGCUGUUUCCUCAAUUAAGGGUAUAGCAGCAGCUGCACUCCCUUGCUAGAACCCAAUAAAGUGGCUACCACAAAAUUAACUUCUGGUAUUCUGAGAUCCUAGGACAGACUACAACAGUCAUCAAAAUCACAAACUCACUUU
rnacentral:snRNA from 1 species